UGCCCGCUCGUCUAACGGCAGGACGACAGGUUCUGGCCCUGUUAAUCGUGGUUCGAAUCCAUGGCGGGCAGCCA
rnacentral:tRNA from 1 species